CUACAGUCAAAUCAUGCUGAAAAUACUGGUUCUCAUUUGGUCACCAAAGUUAAGAAAUGUUGUACCUGGUCAGUACUUAGAAGAGGGACCAUUUGGGAAUGCAGGGUACUGUAAG